GCAGGUACCAUGUGUGCUGGAUUAAUAAUGUUUCGGUUCUGAAGUGGACCAAUGAACUUACCAGUUAGGUUGCCGGAGAGACCAGUAGGUUCUGGAGCAACUAAUCCAGAUGGUGCCACUGGCUUAUCACUACCAUCCAAACGGUCCAGCCUAUCUGUAAUUCAUCCCAAUGAGGACAAUAUCGACAAUAGGAUGGCCUGGAGAUC